UUUAAGUACAAAAUCUUGAACAAAAUGUAAGAACUUUAAAUUUUUCAAAAAGAAUAAUUAUUCGUGCACAUAAAAAUGAUUGAUUUUCAAUAGAAAGCAAGAAAGAAAAAUUGAAUAUCGCAAGAAAAUAAGCAUUCUUUUUCUUUUUAUGCAAAAUAAUGUCUUUGCCAAUAGACUCAACGUUGUUUUGCUCGCACAUAAGGUGAUUUGACGCUUCAAUCUAUUCGCCAAAACCAUUUCUUUUUUAUAUAAGUAGUUUUCUGUAGAGAAAAAUAACUUUUAAAUGAAAACAGACAUUCAAGCGUUAAUAUUAAAAUAAAAAUAGAAUACUUAAUGAUUUUUACAAAAUGAUUUACUUUUUCAAAAGGACAACGUUGUGCACAAUCGUAAGUCACAAAUAUUUAACACAGAGAUCAAUUUGUUGCUGUUCCAGGCAACCAACAGCCUAGGUCGCACCACCGCAAAAAUUCUCUGCACCAAACUAACUUAUUUUGCGAAAGAACAAGAAGUAGAGGAAAACUCUUUGAAAUUUCAAAAACUUUCCAUGAAUAAAAAUCAAUCAGUUACCAGAAAAUUUCUAGCAAACGUUUUAGUUGUGAGAUGUUACAAACGAGAAGCAAAUGUCAGCUGAUUAUAGUCCCCCAAAAGCAGGACAGUGUUUCCUAUAUUCAGUAAGAAAGCUAAUAUCAAAACGAUGUGGAAAACUAUUAGAUCUACUUAUCUGUAAAUGUUGAAAUUAGCUCGAUAGUGUUGGCAGGAGUAAAAACUCGACGUUUAAACUUUAACUAUUUUCAAAUUGCUUUAAACAAUUUGGCAUUUCUGCUACUGUUUCGUUCAAUUUUGUUGUUGUCAUUCUGCAGUCUUCACUUGUUUAUACGUAAAAUCUCGAUUCGCGAUCGAAAUGAUGUCAAUAUAAUAUUUUUAAUCCGAUGUUAAAAUGAUUUAUCAAUUCGACAUCGAUUUAAAAUUGAUUUGACAAAUUGUUAAGUCUGUUUUUUUUAACUAAACUUCUUGUACUAUUCAUCUUUCUUUCAUAUUAGAGAGAAAAAGGAAAUAGAUAAAUCGUACAUACAAGAAAAUCAGUGCUAGAGUAUGGAAAAAGAACAAAUCAUAGAACCGGAAUUAGAAGAUAAAGAAAGAGAGAAAUAAGAUCGAAAUUAUUCAUCGAUUCGACUUUGAAUUAAUGUUGAAUCGAAGUGAAUUUAAUAAUUUCGAUAUUGAUUUGAUGAAUUACUUUUUAGUGGGAAUAAUUAAAAAAUUUAUAAUAAAUCAAUUUCUGGAGAUGCUGCAGGUCCUUCAAGUUUUACAAUCCCUGUCGAAUUCAUAGUGGUUUCAGUGUCAAAAAUUGUUUGAAAUUUAGUUGCUUUUAAUGUCGAAAAUUUUUCGAAACCGAACCCUUCUGAAUAUCGAAUCGAUAUUAAAUUUUGAUCUCUUUCAGAUAAUCGAAUUUCGAUAUCGGAACGAUAUCGUUUUUUAUUUCUCACUGAAUAUGAUCUCCAAAUUUGAAGAACGUAUUCCGUAGAGUUGACAACACUAAAGCAGAUCUAACGAUAGCAAUGCGAUGACAGUUUGACAACAGAGAUUCUGAACAGAUAUCUGUUUAAUUAUCGCAACGCGAUAGAUUCGUACCAAACACAAAUCAAAUCUAUUUCCUGAACCGAAAAAUGAUCAAUAUCAAAUCCUCGUAUUCAUUUUAACAGAAUUAGAAAUUGUACUAAAAAUGCGUCUUAUUUAUUUUUGUUUUUGAAAUUCAAUUUUGAGUACUCGCUUUCAAAAUCGUUUCAUUAAAAUAUGUAAGUGAAAAUUUUUAUUACUGCGCCUUUUAUUUCUAUUCUGUACAGUUUUUUUACGUCCAUUUAUCAGCAGCGUCGUAUAUUGCUCACGGAUGAGCGACUUUAAUGAAGAUAGAUCCAGAUUUUUGCCAUAAAUCCGUCAUCAAUACAUUCGACAGAUUUGCUCACUGCCAAUCUCAAACGUUUUGAUCAUCAGAGGCUUUUGCGAAUAUUAGUUGACACUAUUUGCAAUAGCAAAACUGUUUUGCGUUUGCCAUCAAUCUGCCAUUAAUGGUACCUAUUCGAUGUCUGUUUACUGUUAGUCACUGUUCUGUUGAAUAUUUGCCGACAGAAGUUAUUGUAUACUAACAGAAUUGGCAAUAACAAAGUAUCUAUGUUUUCCACUCGCAGUUCUCGAGUUAACAUAAUCCGUUGCCAAUAUUUGCAAUUGUAAAACGCGCAGUGGCUACGUUUUACUUUCCAAAAAUUACAAAAAUUUAAUUUUAGAUAUUACAUAUUUUAGAUACGAAAUAUGAAAGCACACAAUUUUUCUUCUUCGUCUGUUCGUUUUUUUUAUAAACGUUGCCAUUUAUUGAAAUUUUUGAGCGGUACUGUACAUACGUGCAGAUAGAGAGAAAGAUUUUAUCGAUGUUUGAAAAGAGUUUUACGCAGUUCCGCUUUCGUAUCUCAAAAAAAUGUCGGAUGAGACAAUAAAAUCUCUUUACCCGACAACGGUUUGGAAGUUUUUUCUUCUCCUUCACGAUUUUAUAUAUCCAACUACCAGAACCGUAAUAUCGCGACUUAAAUAAAAAUGAAGUCUUGACGGAGCGGCGACAUGCGUGAUAAGUUUCGCGAAAUUCCAAAAAUGAAAUUUAAGGAUAAAUAGUUUUCAGCAAAUGUCGGUUUCUACGUGUUACUAAAGUGAUGUAGACGUGAGAUACGAGUCUGUUUUUUUUUUUAGAUAGGGGAGUUGGAGAAUCUUGCCGAUUUAUGAAUCGAGCAUGUUUUCCCAUCGACACGAUCGUUGGCAGCUCAACACAUUGAUCGAUAUCUCAUCGCCUCUUUUAUUUUCAUUCACAUCGACGAACACAGCGUCGUGUGCACUAUAUAUGGCGAUAGGUAAUGACACUUAAGUGGCGGCUAAGCAUUUCGCGCCAACGGAUAUUAGUAAACUAUAGUUUUAUUUUAUUUGUAAAAAGUAAUUUUCCAAUACAUUUUGUUUAUUUUUUAUUUGACCCUUUUACUUUAUCGGAAGAGUAUCCGAGUGUCCAUUUUAUUUGUGAAACAAUUUUUUUUUAUGUUCUAGUGGUUCUAGUGCUCUGAAUUUGUGCACAAGUGAACUAUAUAGUAUAUCCUAUUCACUGAGAGAAAAUACAAGUACCUCGCAUAUGAGCAGUUUCCUAGUAAGAAGAGCAUAGCGCGCUACCUUUAGUAUCUACCAUAUAGGUCCGGUUUUUCAUUAUCUGGUUAACUUGAUGUUUUAACCAAUGAGCUUCACUUGUGGCAUCAUCAUGGGUGAAGCUCAUUGGAUAAAACAUCAGGUUAAAUUUAACCAUGAGUUAACCGGAUAAUGAAAAACCGGGCCGUAUAUAAAUAUGACACGUUUAGGUCCGGAAUUAGACAAUUGAGCAGGUGAAAUAACCUUUUCAUUUCAGUAUGAUAUUAAAUCGAAAUUUUAAUAUACACAUAGUGGAAGGACGACGGACGUGGAAUAUAACUGGAGUGGAAUAUCAGGUUAUCUCGUAUAAUUCGCAUUGCAGUUUAAGAGCAAUCGUUAAAAUUACUUUGUUAUCAAGGGGUUUGCCACGAGCUGGAAUGUUGUCCCACAGAUUACAUGACUUCAUUCGAUUUCAUACGAUUUUAUCUGAUUACACAAUGAUUUCACAAUAAUUGCAUAUGUAAUUUUUAGAUUUUUAAUAAUUAAAGAUAAUUUUAUUUCACUAAAAAUAUCAUUAUUGAUCGUUAAUUUCUUCCAAAUAACAUUGAAUUGAGAGGUAACUACUUAGAAAAUAGGUAUAUCAUGAUUAUUGACUUCAAGACCAUUGGAAUUCAUUAUGGUUGUUAAAAAAGUUUUUCUAAAAAAAAGAACGUUAUAAAAUUUGUUGAGACCUUUUUUAGAGACAGCAUGGUGUGAUCUCUAAUAACUAUUUUUAACCGAAAAAUAAUUACAAGAACCAGCUUGCACUGAUUUCAUAAUAAAUUCUAUAAUAAUUACACAUGAUUUUCAAAGAUUAUGCAGAAAUCUAAAAUGAUUUCUGCUGAUUAUAUAUGAUUUUAUUAAAAUUUCUGAAGAUUUUAUCUGAUUUCGCAAUUACAUCUGAUUGCAAAAUGAUUACAUGAGGAUUUCGUAAGAAUUUUAUAUUGAUUUCGAAGACACUGUCCCACGAUUACAUUAAGUGAUAAACCCUUUGUUUGUUGCAACCUAUUUAGUAGAGUUGUAAUAAAUAUUCGAUAACUAUCUAUUCGAUAUAUGUUUUUAAGAAAACAAAAUAACAAUAAUAAUUAGAAUUUUAAAAAUAAAAAUAGGAGGUAGAGAGAUGCAACAAAUAGUAAUAUUCGACUCUUGACGAAUACUGAAUACUCGGCAGUCAUGAAUCAAACAGCUGAAUAUUCAACAAAUAUUCGAAACAGAUAAAAACACAUCAAUAUCGAAGAAUAUCGAAAAAAAAA